AUUGAACGCUGGCGGCAGGCUUAACACAUGCAAGUCGAGCGAGCGGCGGACGGGUGAGUAAUGUCUGGGAAACUGCCUGAUGGAGGGGGAUAACUACUGGAAACGGUAGCUAAUACCGCAUACCAUCAGAUGAGCCAAGAUGGGAUUAGCUAGUAGGUGGGGUAAUGGCUCAACUAGGCGACGAUCCCUAGCUGGUCUGCGAGGAUGACCAGCCCCACUGGGACUGAGACACGGGCCAGCCUCCUACGGGAGGCAGGAGUUGGGAAUAUUGCACAAUUGGCGCAAGCCUGAUGCAGCCAUGCCGCGGGUGAGAAGGAGGCCUUCGGGGUGUAAAGCACUUUCAGCGAGGGGGCGUUACUCGCAGAAGAAGCACCGGCUAACUCCGUGCCAGCAGCCGCGGUAAUAC
rnacentral:rRNA from 1 species